AUUAAACGCUGGCGGCAGGCCUAACACAUGCAAGUCGAACGGUAACAGGAAGCAGCUUGCUGCUUUGCUGACGAGUGGCGGACGGGUGAGUAAUGUCUGGGAAACUGCCUGAUGGAGGGGGAUAACUACUGGAAACGGUAGCUAAUACCGCAUAACGUCGCAAGACCAAAGAGGGGGACCUUCGGGCCUCUUGCCAUCGGAUGUGCCCAGAUGGGAUUAGCUAGUAGGUGGGGUAACGGCUCACCUAGGCGACGAUCCCUAGCUGGUCUGAGAGGAUGACCAGCCACACUGGAACUGAGACACGGUCCAGACUCCUACGGGAGGCAGCAGUGGGGAAUAUUGCACGAUGGGCGCAAGCCUGAUGCAGCCAUGCCGCGUGUAUGAAGAAGGCCUUCGGGUUGUAAAGUACUUUCAGCGGGGAGGAAGGGAGUAAAGUUAAUACCUUUGCUCAUUGACGUUACCCGCAGAAGAAGCACCGGCUAACUCCGUG
rnacentral:rRNA from 1 species